rnacentral:rRNA from 1 species
UACGGAGGAUGCAAGCGUUAUCCGGAAUCACUGGGCGUAAAGCGUCUGUAGGUGGUUUAUCAAGUCUGCUGUUAAAGCUUGAGGCUUAACCUCAAAAAAGCAGUGGAAACUGAUAGACUAGAGAAUGGUAGGGGCAGAGAGAAUUCUCAGUGUAGCGGUGAAAUGCGUAGAUAUUGAGAAGAAUACCGAUAGCGAAGGCGCUCUGCUGGGCCAUUACUGACACUCAGAGACGAAAGCUAGGGGAGCAAAUGGG